rnacentral:lncRNA from 1 species
AAAUUGAAAGUAAACUCAUGGCUUCAACCUUUAUACCAAACCUCCAGUCAAGAGAGCAGCAUGGUUUCCAGCGAUGGUUAAACAUUUCCACCAAGAAGCCUUAGUGAAAUUGGAAAGUAAUUGGAAGACAAAACAGGAAGAAAAGGAACCUGACAUCAAAAUAGAGAUUUUGUAACGGCUUAAGAACAGAGACCAGUUUGGAAGAUCAAGAGCC